rnacentral:rRNA from 1 species
AACGCGAAGAACCUUACCAAGGUUUGACAUGGCCGGAAAAGCAUCAGAGAUGGUGUGUCCUUCGGGUCGGUCACAGGUGGUGCAUGGCUGUCGUCAGCUCGUGUCGUGAGAUGUUGGGUUAAGUCCCGCAACGAGCGCAACCCUUGUGAACUGUUGCUACCCAGCACUUCGGUGUUGGGGCACUCUGUUCAGACUGCCCUGUGAAACGGGGAGGAAGGUGGGGACGACGUCAAGUCAGGAUGGCCCUUACGCCCAGGGCUGCACACGUACUACAAUGCUCAGUACAGAACGAACCGAAAUCGCGAGGUGGAGGAAAUCACUAAAACUGAGCCCAGUUCGGAUUGUAGGCUGCAACUCGCCUACAUGAAGCCGGAAUCGCUAGUAAUGGCGUAUCAGCUACGACGCCGUGAAUACGUUCCCGGGCCUUGUACACACCGCGCAUA